rnacentral:tRNA from 1 species
GAUCGUUUAGCUCAGUCGGUUAGAGACUCGUGCUAGUAACGCGAGGGUCGCAGGUUCGAGCCCUGCAUCGACCA